AUAUCAUCUUAGAUUCGAUUAAAUUCUAUAGUUAAUUUUUUCUACUUGUGUAAAAUGUUCUGUUAUGUGAAUAUACCACAGUUAAUCCAUUUCUGUACCACAGUCAUUUUUCUUAUUGAUGGGUAAUCAGAUUGUUUACAUCAUUAUUAUUACAAACAGUACCAAAGUCAACGUUCUGUCUCAUAAAUUAUUUCUGAAAGGAAGUUUUGAGUUAGUGAAUAUGGGUAUUAGACUGUCUACAUUUUGCCAAAUUGCUUUCCAAUAUGUAUUAUUUUAUGUUCCUGUUAAUAGUAUAAGUGCUUCUGUUGCUUUUCAUUUUUAGACUUACAUCAUUUGAAAUGAAUUCUAUGUAUGUUCUAGGCUAAGGAUCUUUUUUCAGUUUGCCUUAGCACUAAUACUUAAUUGAGUAGUUUAUUCUUUCUAUUUUGAUUACAUAUUUCUCAUUUACCGAGUUUCUAUAUACUGAGGUCUAAAUCUAGGCUCCCUUGUCUGUUCUGUUAGUGAAUGAUAUUACUCCUGUAACUAGUAUAUUUUAAUUACUAUAGACUUAUAGUAAGGCAUCUCUCCUUACUAAUACUCUUCAAAAUUGUCUUGACUAUUCUUGUCUUUUUAUACCUCUGCAUGAAUUUUAAAACCAGGUUGCCAAAUUCUGGGGGGAGAUCGCUAAGGUUUUUACUGGAAUUUCAUUGGAUUUUUAGUGUAUUUGGAGAGGGUUAUCUUUAUAAUAUUGAAUCGUCCUGUUUAUGAAUAUGGUUGGUUGGUUGGUCAGUGUGUUUUUCUUUCUGUACCUACCUGCCUACCCUACCUGUCUUCCUUUUUUUUUUUUUUAAUCAAUAAAGUUUUAC
rnacentral:lncRNA from 1 species